UAUAGCUGUGGGGAAGGGCGGAGCUCCCUAGAGACGGCACGCUGUCUGGAGGAUAACUUCCUGCCCACCCCCUGCUAGGUGGGAGACCCUGUGGAUCUGAAGUAGAACGCUGUGCCGCAACCGGAGUCUGCUGUGACUCAGAGAGCUGUGUUCUAGACUCACACUGUUUUGGGGAGAGUCCGUACCACUCUCCUGCGGACCACAGCUCCAGAGCCACAAGAAACUCACCGGAGGAACUGCUGAUGCAUCUACUACACUUUGCCACCAGGGGGCAGGGUGAAUACUAACAAUCUCACUCUAGACUCGCUCACAUUUGAAUGAUUCCAAAUCAACACUUACUAACUAGCCUUUCACACUUCUUCAAGAUUGGACAUGUAUCAGCUAUAUGGUGGCAUUCCUAAGUGCUGCGUGAAGACAUCUAUGGACAUUCCCACCAAUCUGCUGAGGAGAGGAGAGCAGAGAUGCAGUUGAGCAAUGGUGUCUACUGCAUGUGAAAGGGAAGAAGCUAUGUGCCCACCCCAAGAUCAAGAGAAAGCUGAAGAGACUCCAGAGGAAGGGGCAGAAAAGGCAGAAGAGGCCUUAGUGCUCUGUGGAGGGAGGGAACUCGUUAAUGUGCGGCAGCUUGACUUUUCUGUCAUGUAUUUUUAUACUUUGUACUUGUUUAUUAUGAAGUGUUCUGGAGGAGUUUUUUAAUUGCAUUAGUAUGUUAUGUGUGUUAAGCAGAAAUCUGUGGCGCAUGUGUGCUUAAAGCUACUUGUAAUCCAUCAACUAAUCAAUGUCAUUCAUGAAAUGGUUUCCUAUGGAAUAAAACGUGUAAUAUCAUCAA